rnacentral:sRNA from 1 species
ACUCAUCCUUGCGCCAAGCUACGCACUUGGGUUUGACGACGAGGGAUGCCAAUCUCGCACGAGUUCACCCGUGCUGCGAACCGUAGCGAGCAAAUUGACUCCCCUGUAGACGACACCUCUGGAGACAGAUUCACAAACAUAAGUGUCUUCGAGUCUCCUCCAAGGCAUGGCUUUCAGGUACGUUAAUUUUGAGUUCCUGAAUGGAACGUGCUCCUCUUUCUUUGCAAUGGAGAAGAUUACAUCGCUCAAGCACGAGAGGCUUUUAUUAAUAGCCUGUGUCUCCUUUAGCCUAUCUCCGGUGGCACCGCUCUUGUUAAGCCGCUCACUGCCGGCAAGAUCGAUUAGAUUGAGCACUCCUUGCACCUGCUGAUAUCGCAUACCUCAUUGACACCAAAAAAUCGAAGCGUGAACACACAAUGACUUCUAGAUGAUUCUUCGUUCAUCUGUAACUAGAGUGCAACCUGCUCUGAGCAGCCCGCUUGAGGAGAGAAGAAACUUCAUUGAUACUCAACACAUCGACGAUUAUGAGAUCUGAUACAUGGGUAUUACCAUUGGCAUCAUGCUUGAUACUGUACUUUGAAGCGCCACCAUCUUGAAUAGUUGUGUGAUUAGUGGCUAGCAGAUCACAUAUGGCUUCAUUGUAGAUUUCCAACAUAGAUGCCUGCAUCUUAUAUUUCCAUCCCUGUGAAAUAAGAGCCUGGCUUGUUUGGAAAAUUUGUUCAAGUGAUCUCGGAAUUAAUCCUUUCUGGUCAUGUAAUUCUGGAUUUCCCAUCAUUGUGUAUGUUUUACCCGAGCCAGUUUGGCCAUAUGCAAAUAUGCACACCUGACCAUCAAGGGCGCUCUGGACGAGAUGGGAAAUCUCAAUGAACACAUCUUCUUGUGAUGUCGACUGCUCAAAUACUUUGUCAAAUCAAGUGUUACUAUACCAUUAUGUGUCAACUCAAUGCCACGACCUAAGUUUUCUCCACUCUUUGGAUAAGCAACAGCUCCUGAUUCAUUUGGCAAUAAAGGUCGCACCCUACAGAAGACUCGAAUAAAAAUUUAAGAGACAUUACGAGUAUUGUAUUAUGGAGUUUUUUCCGCAAAUUUCUCUAUGUCCAAAAUUUGUUGCUCAGCUUCUUCGAGUCGUAAUUGCAGAUCCUUCAACAUUCUUUUUUCUUCUCGUACUCAGUCAUCGUCUCCAUAGUAGUCAAAUCAGAUCUCUACAUAAUUAAAGAAAAUAGCAAGUCCUUAAGCGCUUGUGGAUAUAAUAUAUUGAAACAAAGUGUACAUGCUUUCAGUAUGCACUUUUUAACUUUUCGUUAGCUGAUGCAAGCUGCAGCUCCAAUGUUUUAAUUCUCUCUGUUUGGGACGAACAUGUUUCCUGUAUUGAAAAUACAUUAGUUGCACCGAUUGUAGUAAUUAGACAUUGAAUCAAUUAGAGCAUAAUUUAAGAUGAACAGAUGUUUGUAAUGAAAGGUCGGGACUAAGAUCAUACCUUUUCCAAAUCUAGCUGCAUCUUUACAGAGUUAGCAUGGUGUUUCAAACCAUUCAUUGUUUCUACCAUAGUGUUCUUCUCUUUCUGCAGCAUUGCUAUUAUUUCACCAUUCUUCGUUGCAUUUGUAGAUUGCUGUUAUACUGUUGCAAACUAGUGUUGUAUUCUUGAAGCCUCUUAUUUGUGUCCUGAAGCAUCUUGA